GCAGGGUGAGAUAAUUACCAGCAAUUCGCAUUGAAAAACACCACUGUCAGUUACUCAGUUGUCAUUGGUGCUUUCAACAUAUAUAAUGAGUAUUAUAAAGAACUUAUAUAGUAUGAAGCACUUAGAAAAAUCAGCUAUAUGCGUUAAUCGGUGCAGAAGCUGAGAUAUUUUAAUAUAUUUCCUUUUCUAAAAAAAUGAAGCACUUAAAAGUCUGCCCAUCUAAGGCUUAGCACCAUUCAAAAACGGACUGGUAUUCUGAUGUGGUAAGCCCGAGCGAGCAUAACACCAAUCUUGGACGCAUUGACGUGCUUCAGCAUAUCAGACAAGACACAAGCUGCAUAACAGUUCGCUUUCUAUCAACAUGCCCAGUUGUUGAUGAUAGAAACCAUGCAGCUAGUUGAGAGAGACACGUUGCUAUGACCAUUAUUCUCCAUGUUCGGAUUAACCUCCUGAUUCCUCUCACUUCUAGUUUAGUGUAUGAUUCCUUGGCAC
rnacentral:lncRNA from 1 species